rnacentral:rRNA from 1 species
AUUGAACGCAGGCGGCAUGCCUUACACAUGCAAGUCGAACGGCAGCACGGGAGCAAUCCUGGUGGCGAGUGGCGAACGGGUGAGUAAUAUAUCGGAACGUGCCCAGUAGUGGGGGAUAACUGCUCGAAAGAGCAGCUAAUACCGCAUACGACCUGAGGGUGAAAGGGGGGGAUCGCAAGACCUCUCGCUAUUGGAGCGGCCGAUAUCAGAUUAGCUAGUUGGUGGGGUAAAGGCCUACCAAGGCAACGAUCUGUAGUUGGUCUGAGAGGACGGCCAGCCACACUGGGACUGAGACACGGCCCAGACACCUACGGGAGGCAGCAGUGGGGAAUUUUGGACAAUGGGCGCAAGCCUGAUCCAGCAAUGCCGCGUGCAGGAAGAAGGCCUUCGGGUUGUAAACUGCUUUUGUCAGGGAAGAAAUCCUCUAGGUUAAUACCCUUGGGGGGAUGACGGUACCUGAAGAAUAAGCACCGGCUAACUACGUGCCAGCCGCCGCAGUAAAAC